AACGAACGCUGGCGGUAUGCUUAACACAUGCAAGUCGCACGAGAAAGUCCUCUUCGGAGGGCGAGUAAAGUGGCGCACGGGUGCGUAACACGUAAAUAACCUGCCUUGUCGAUGGGGACAACAUCUCGAAAGGGGUGCUAAUUCCCAAUAAGCUUAAGAAGCCGUAAAGACUUUUUAAGGAAAGAGGCCCUCUGAUCUAUGGUCUCGCGAUAAGAUGGAUUUGCGUCCCAUCAGCUUAUUGGUGAGGUAAUGGCUCACCAAGGCUUUGACGGGUAGCUGGUCUGAGAGGACGAUCAGCCACACUGGGACUGAGACACGGCCCAG
rnacentral:rRNA from 1 species